GAAGCAUGGGAGGAAGGUAAGGUGCGGCUGGGUGAAGAGCUGCCGUUUUGAACAAGGCGGUCAGGAAAAGUUUUACUGUUAAGGUGACAGUUGAGCAAAAACCUAAAAGUGGUAAGGAGGUGCAUUAUGUGGCUAUGGCGGGGGGGUGGGUCCGGGUGGAAGGAACAGCAAAUGCAAAAGCUAUGAGGCACAAGUGUGUCCAGUGGGUUGGAGAAAUAGCAGGGAAGCCAAUGUGGCUGCAGUGGGUGAACAAAGAGAAGGAGAAAGGAGAGAAGGGGCGGGAAGGGGAGGAGGCAGGAAGGAAGAGGUGGAGAGGCCAUGGGGUAACGACGGAGCCAGACUGUGUAGCCUUGAACCUUAGAGGGAGAGAAAUUUGAAAUAGCAGGUAUAGAUAACAUUUUGAGGAAUUUUGCCGUAGGUGAAAGAGAUCAGAGAAACUGGAUGACAGCUAUAGGUAGAUAUAGUUUCAAGAGAGAAAAAUUUUGAUGUGGGAGAAAUUAUUCUAUUUGAAAGCUGGUGGGAAUAAUCUAGUAGAGAGGAGAACACUGAUGAUGCAAGAAGGUAGGCAACUGCUGAGAUGACUGGAGCACAGACAGCUCAUGCCUGGUAACAGGAGAAAACGAGUAUCUGGGCACAGAUUCAAGCACGUGGGUGGGAGUAACGGUGGGAGCUGGUGGGAGUCCUCUCCUGAUGGCUUUCAUCUUCUCAAUGAUGUAGGAAGCAAGGCCAUGGGCUGAGCGAAAGGAUGAGGAGGAGGGAGGUUUGAAGACAGAGGAGAAGGAAUGAAAUAGCGCUCUGGGAGAAUAAGAGAGUGACUAGACCAGGGACAUGUGGUUUAAUGGGCAGGCAGCAUUAAGGGCCCCCUGAAAGUCAGCAGCCACGAUAAAAUGAGAGUAUCCAGCUCAGUUAUGAGUUUCUCUUUAAGAUUCAAAUUGGGUGCUCCAGGAAAGCAAGUGGCAAAUCCAAACAGAACGGGAACUUGAACUCGCUUCUCUGUAUCCUAGCCCAGCAACUGCAUUUUGCAGCUUUUAGAAUUUCCUCAAAAAUGACAAUUUGUUACCAUGGCCAUAAUCAAAAAAGCAUUGCUUGAGACUUGGGUU